CGGUUGCCAGCAGCCGCGGUAAUUCCAGCUCCAAUAGCGUAUAUUAAAGUUGUUGCAGUUAAAAAGCUCGUAGUUGAAUUUCGAGAUCAAUUUGUUGGUCGUGCCUCGGUACGUACUGGCAAUUUUGAUUUCUCCCUUCUGAAGAACCAUGAUGUCAUUAAUUUGGUGUCAUGGGGAAUCAGGACCGUUACUUUGAAAAAAUUAGAGUGUUUAAAGCAGGCUCGCGCUUGAAUACAUUAGCAUGGAAUAAUGAAAUAGGACGUUUGAUUCUAUUUUGUUGGUUUCUAGGAUCGACGUAAUGAUUAAUAGGGAUAGUUGGGGGCAUUAGUAUUCAAUUGUCAGAGGUGAAAUUCUUGGAUUUAUUGAAGACUAACUACUGCGAAAGCAUUUGCCAAGGAUGUUUUCAUUAAUCAAGAACGAAAGUUAGGGGAUCGAAGACGAUCAGAUACCGUCGUAGUCUUAACCAUAAACUAUGCCGACUAGGGAUCGGAUGAUGUUAAUUUUUUUAAUGACUCAUUCGGCGCCUUACG
rnacentral:rRNA from 1 species